rnacentral:rRNA from 1 species
UACGGGGGGGGCAAGCGUUGUUCGGAAUUACUGGGCGUAAAGGGCUCGUAGGUGGCCAACUAAGUCAGACGUGAAAUCCCUCGGCUUAACCGGGGAACUGCGUCUGAUACUGGAUGGCUUGAGAUUGGGAGAGGGAUGCGGAAUUCCAGGUGUAGCGGUGAAAUGCGUAGAUGUCUGGAGGAAUACCGGUGGCGAAGGCGGCAUCCUGGACCGACAUUGACGCUGAGGAGCGAAAGCCAGGGGAGCAAACGGG